UUUUAAGCCUUGUACAAAUUAGUGGAAUACUUGCUACAAACAGAGACACAUUUUCCCCAGAUUCAUUGGUUGAGAUGAGUUUUCACAAACCCAAUUCCAACACUCAAUUUGUUGGGGAUGAAAACAGGUCUUCUGCAGAGGUAUUCCAAGAGAAUAUAAUGUCAAUGGUAGUUUUUGAGUUUGAAGUGUGAAGGGAUACAACACCGUGAUAGCUCAUGGAGAAA